rnacentral:rRNA from 1 species
UACGGGGGGAGCAAGCGUUGUUCGGAUUUACUGGGCGUAAAGGGCGCGUAGGCGGCCACCGCAAGUCAAUUGUGAAAUCUCCGGGCUCAACCCGGAACGGUCAACUGAUACUGCGGGGCUAGAGUGCAGAAGGGGCAACUGGAAUUCUCGGUGUAGCGGUGAAAUGCGUAGAUAUCGAGAGGAACACCUGCGGCGAAGGCGGCUCUCUGGGCCUUACCUGACGCUGAGGCACGAAGGCCAGGGGAGCAAACGGG